rnacentral:lncRNA from 1 species
CGCCGCCCCCGCUGCCCCCUGCGCUGCCCAACCCCGCCGACGGACCCGAGCCAGUUCCCCUUAGCACAUGCUUGCUACGAGGAGGCCCACGAAGCAAUGGUGGACAUCCUAAACCCGCCGAGGAUGAGGAGGGGGCGCGUGCCGGAUCUGCAGCGAUGACAAGCACCCACUCCGCUACCCCUCCACCAGCAUCAAGUUCGUGCACCAGCACUACCUCCUCCCGUCAGUAUGAGGUAUAUACCAUCUGCCGCUGACAUCCCAGCCCCUGGGUUCCUCCAUAGCAAGGUAGGUUCUUCGGGGAUUCGAUUCAAUUUGAUAGGGCAACUGAUAUGGUAGUGAUUUCGUGUGUUUUGUAUGAUAUUACUGCUCUAUCUUGCUAUAAAUCUGCUGAAGCUAGAGUAAAUGACUUUUUUUGCAGGUAAUUCAGAGUUGGAUUCGGUCUUUAUAAACUCGACUUUUAGUUUUGCUCCAUCGCCAGCUUAUUUGCCUUACUUAUGUAUUCUUGGAAGAGUGAAUAAAAGAUGCUUGCAUGAUGAAAUACAGGUAGCCACUCUGGGUUCAUGUGCUGGAGAGAUAAAUCUUUGCAAUCUUGACUAUUGUAUACUGCUUUGGAACCUUCCCGAGGCAAAUCUGCAAAGCUAUAUGUGUUUAUUUCCGAUCCUACAAUUAUUGCUUUAAGAGAAUCCAUGAUUUACCACAUUUAACGAGUUGGUUCAUGUACAUUCAUCAAGUGUUUUUGGCUUUCUUUCAGUUUAUGCAUGGAGCCGGACGCAAAUUGUCGGGGGGAUAACCCCGGGGUAGGCUCAUCAAGCCUAUUCCUUCAUUUCCGGUCCAAUGGACAUGGACGUAUGAGGAUUCCCAAGGCCCAAGUCUUCUGGCCGGCAAGGCAUCACCUGCCGGCUAGAGGACGAGGCGGCCACCUUUCUGGCCGGCCAGGCAACCCCUGCCGGCUAGAAUCCAAGCGGCCUCCUCUUCGGAGCCGGCCUGGUCCCGCCAGACGGACUGGGGAGGAGGCGGCCAUACUUAAGCCGGCUGGCCAAGCAGGCUAGCCGGCCGAGGAUCACAAGUCACAUCAGAUUGUAGGUCAGGAAGAGACCUCACGAUUAAAGGUAGCUACGCGUCAGCA